AAGACAUGGAAUCCAGUAGACAAGACCAGACGUCUAUCACAAGGGGAAGACAGGAGCUGAGGCUCAGGAAUAUUAAAGAACCUGUGGUCAAUACAUCACUUAGCUGAUAAAUCCAGAGCUGAGAUCCAACUCACUCUUGCUGUGGAUCCAAAGCUUGGUCCCCAAGACACUACAGGCCUGUGUGCCCCCAAUAGCCCUGUGUUUCCUUGGGAAACUGUCCCACCCCACUUUUAGUACUCAUCAUUUGAGUGCACCUGAACCCACUCCGAAUUCCAGGAAGGAUCACAUGACAUUGGCUUACACUGAUCAACAUAAGUACCACCAGUCUGGCUACAGUGAUUGGUGCAAGAAGAAAGAAGGAAUCAAGUUAACCCAAACAACAUAUAGCCCAGAACCUUUGGGAGAGUUUAUAGCAAAAGAAGUUAUUUCCAUCUUGGGCCUGUGAAGACAUAAUGAAACUCCAGAGAACAGGAGAUGGGGCACAUCUGACCCAAUGAACAGAACCAAGCAGGAGAUGAAGCAAGAUAGCUUCCUAAAACCUAUUCCAAGCAUCUGAAUUCAGCCAUGCUAGAAGUGACAUCUACUUAUGGAUUUUAAAUCUACAAGAGUUAAUAAUUCCCCCUCC